rnacentral:rRNA from 1 species
UACGAAGGGGGCUAGCGUUGCUCGGUAAUGACUGGGCGAUAAAGGGCGCGUAGGCGGUUUAUGCAGUCGGGGCGUGAAAAUUCCUGGGCUCAACCUGGGGGCUGCGCCACGAGACGCAUGGACUGGAGUAGGGAAGGAGGGUCGUGGAAUUCCCAGUGUAGAGGUGAAAUUCGUAGAUAUUGGGAAGAACACCGGUCGGUGCGAAA